ACCCGCUGAAGCUGCAAGCCCAGAGAAUUCUGACAGACAAGGUGUUGUUAUGCGCCCAGCGCAUCUAUCAUUUCAGUGCACGGUGCUCGUGUGUUUUCCGAAAUGGCGGGCCCAACUGUCAAUGGUUGGGAUUUGCGUACCGGUAGGUAGCCGGAGCAUGCUAGUCGUCUGUUGGACUGCCUGGCCGAUGCACUUUCUCUGGUGGUGAACACCACGACCGGUGGUACUGCCAGUCUGCUGUAGCCAGCUUCGGCGCAUGUUCUGGCCUCGGCUAGGGCGUGUGACGAUCACAGACAAUUUCAGUGCACGGUGCUCGGGUGUUUUCCGCAUGCGGGCAUGUUAUCGGGAACUGGUUGUAAACGGGUCGGCCCUGGCUGCACUCUGUAGUCACGGUUGACAGGUGACCCGGUGGGCUACAGUGGUAUGAAUAACUGUGCAGGGGACCGGAGUUUUCGGUCCGACCGGUGAUGGUCGCUUGCGACUGUUGCCGCUGGCUGCACACGCACUACAGUUCGGCGUGUGUUUCUGCUGCUGAUGCAGUAGUAGUACGGAUGAUGCUGCUACGGCCUGCCAGUCGUUGGGUCUGAUUGUCGUGUCGCCUGCCAAAAUGGCGGGUCCGGCAGUCGUCUGGCGUUGGAUGGGUAUGAAUAACUGUGCAGGCAUUGUGCGGCCAGGAUUAGUGUACGCGACCUCAUAGUCUGUGGUGUAGUGGUAGACGAGCUACCCGACCCGUCUUGAAACACGGACCAAGGAGUUUAACAUGCGCGCGAGUCAUUGGGUCCUACGAAACCCAGAGGCGCAGUGAAAGUGAAGCCUCGACAUGUAUUGUUCUCGGGGUGUGGUGAGAUCCUGCUGUUUCUCGCAUACAUUUGGCUAGCACUGGGCUAUCUAAUCGAGCAGACUGUUGCCGACGCACUACACCCAUGAGGUCCCGUACGAGUGGAUGUGUCCGUA
rnacentral:rRNA from 1 species